AAUGAACUUCAUUGAUGUUUCAUCAUUCAGCAAUGCCGCCAUAACAGGCCAAGGGACCUCGUGAACUAGGAAAGAUACCUUCUCAAGCCUGUGUAAGAGAUAGGUCUUAAACUGGCGAACACCCCGUCCAGCUGAUGUUGGAUCCAUCUUAUGAGCCCUCUCAAAUGCAUGAAAGCGACCUAAUAGGAGAGAUAAAGCAAGGAAAAGGAGAAGUUUUGCUACAGAUUAGGAAGAAGACACUAAGAAUAAGGUAGACCACUGAGAAAGAUUAAUGAGCAUGCAGGAAAAGCAUUUAGUAUCUGCUCCACUCUUACAAUUGAUAAGACCCAGCUUCCAAUGACGGACAGAAAUGAACAGCAUAGACAGAAUUUUCCUAAAAGAAAGAUGACACCAUUGCUUUUCUCUCAUUAACAAACCGUUAGCGCUUCCGCAGCGACUCAAACCAAGUCAUGUUACAGCUUCACAUUAUUUAUCUCUCCAACAAUUACAAUGUUCAUAUCGACUGUAUGCUUUAGACACUUAUCAUGGCUACUUUAGUGUUUGAAUAGUAAUCAUCUGUGGCUCUAACAUAGAAUUCCCUGUUUUGAUGGUAAAGAGAAUUGGACGGGUAGCACGCGCGCGCGCGAAGGGCUAUUGUCGUUAAUUAUGUUUAAGCAAACUAUAAUGUCACUUGACCUAUAAUUGUAACAAGGAUUCCUUCUUAUGAGCUCAUAAGAAGACAUAUCUUGAGCAUAGACUUCGAAAUGACUUUCUUCCAAACUUAUCAAACUUAUAUUAGAUAGAUUCAGCUAGAAAUCAGAUAUUAGAUAAGAAACUAGACACUAGAUGUUAGAUUAAAUUAUGAGAGAGUUCUAUUUUAAGAAUGCUCAGCCCAUUUUCUCUAUCAAACGCCGUUGUUUGAAUACAGUAGAUAGCAUAUAAAUGGGAACAACCAUACAGCUAAUAAUCAUUGAGUAUAUUAUGAAAUAUAACCGUGGAAUUACGUCCUUCUUCCACUUCUUCACUUUGCAUAUCUAUUUAAUCCCUUUCAUCUAAUUCACGUCAUCCAAAGCCAUUAAAAUUUGGUAAGUAAACUCCUCAGUUAACAGCUGUUACAUGUUUUUUUCCCCCAAAGCUAACAAUGCCCAUAAACUAAUACUCUCUUGGGUUAAAUUUCAAGUUAUUUACCGGAAAGGUCGACGAUUGAAGUCGCUUGAUAAAUGACAAGGGAAGAAGAAAAUCAAGCACGCACGAGGUGUGAACAACGAUAGAGACAUAAUCAAAAUUCGACAACCACGACUUAGACAGUGACUUGUCCUGCAAGAGUGUUCAUUGUCUAAGUCGGUCGUGAGAAAAGAUUAAACUUUUACCGUCGAGAAACAACUACAUGGCAUGGCAUGCUUGUCAUUGACUCCACCGAGUCGCCUAUGAAAAUUUUGGCCAUCGAACGAACCGAACAACGGGAAACAGGGCAGCAAAGGACCAGAAUGAGAGAGGAGGAGGAGCUUACACAAAUACGCGACCCUCGGGUUCUCCCACUCGACCUCGUUGGCUACGCGGAGGAUUGGCGCGAUGGCGGCCAGUGAAGAGGGCACCAGCUCGCUGUCCACGGCGGAUGUGUCCUCGUUCGGCAAGUCAGCCAUCAUCGUAUGCGUCCUCGUCAUCUUCUUCGACAGCGACCGGGGCGGGCGGGAGCCCGGCUCCGGCUUGCUCCCGCUCGAGCUCGCCAUCCGCAGCGGCGGCGGCGGCGGUUCCCCACACAGACAGGCCCCCUCGUCUCUUGUAUCACCCGGCUCCUGCUCCUCCGGUGGCGGCGGUACUUCGGGUCUCUACGGUGCCAGCCAGCGUCCAGCGAUCGGGCGUCGUCGUUGUCGUCGUUGUCGUCGCCGCCCUCGGCUUGCGCGGGUCUCGAAGAGAGAUGUGGACUGCAACCAUCGCCAAUCUUUUCCGCGCACUUAUGUACGCGCAGAGGGAAGGGGGAGAGAGAUACUUUGGGUGGUGAGUGGGGAAAGGGGAGUUGCCGCUGGAGCAAGGAAAGAAUGGAGAGAAAUGUGUGGCACAGGGAGGACUGUUGGUUUUCAUUGGAGUGCUUUGCGCUUUCGUCCGGUCGAGUGAAGAAAUGCGGCUCUUUCUGCUUUGUCGCGCGCGAAAGUGCGACUGCGAACGAGGAAGGAAACGCUCCCCCGGAUUUCAAUUUUCGGUUUAUGUCGGUUUUGUUCUCUCUUCUUGUCCUUGGGCUCCCUCGUUUGUUGGGCUUGGGCUUGGGCCUGAGCAGUGAGCAGUGGAUUUGGAGCCUCGAGGCCCAUUCUCCUCAGAGUAGAAAAUCACCUCAGCAGAACUCGUUCGAUAAUUUCAGUUCAUAAGUAAACAGUUGGGAAAAUGACAUAGAUGGUCCUUGAAUUUUGGCCUGAUAUAUAAUAUCAUCCCGAAAUUUUUAUAUAUUCAAUAUGGUUCAUGAAUUUUUGGUAUGUCUUUGAUACAAUCCCUAGACUAAUGUUAUCAUUUCUAUUCGAGUUGACAAAAUUUGUAGAUUUGGCAUCCAAUUAAGUACAUUUGAAUGAUUGACAAAAAAAAAAAUUCCACUCCUAAUAGUUAACUCGAAUUAGAAUAUAAUGAUCAUUUUAAGUUGUAUCAAUUUGGAAAAAAAAAGAUUAUUUAUGUUAUUAGAUGACGUUAAUUAUUAUAUUUUGAUUUAAAUUAGAUAUCUUACAUAGAUAACCUCCGUAUAAUGUCAUUUUUGUCUCUAGUGUUCAAUGGACGUCUAGGUAUCUUAGACCAGUAAAUUAUUCUCAUCAAUUGUGACAAUUCCUUGUUCAAUUGUCAUUGAUUAAUUAGCUGAACAAGAGAACCUGUUCUCAAAUCAAACUAUGCAGAAAUGACAUUAUAGGGAUGAGAGAGUGACACGGUCAUCCUUUCUCCAAAGUACACAACUUUAUCUAUACCCAAAAAAAACCAGCUUCCAAGGUUCCCACGAUAAUAUUUUCAUUCUAAUAGCCACUAAAUGUGAUACCUAAAAAAUAUAAUAAGAAAAAGGAAUGAGCCACCACCACCCGGUGAGUAAUACAUUUCCUUUAAGCAAAUCAAACAAUCACUAUGUACAUUUAUAAAACCAUAUCAUAACUCAUUUACACCAAAUCCAAAAUAUAUCAAACUUACAAUCUUAUCAAAAUACAAGUCAAUGGUUCAUUCCAUCAAAUAAAGCUCGAGUAUCUAGCCAUGGUCAUGAAUAACACCCCGUGAUAAGGCAACCAAGAUUCCUCUAUUGAUUAGGUCUUCACCUAUUAUAAGCUAGAAGCUCGGCCCACAAAAAUAUCCUAGACUAGUAUGUGCAUAUCCACAACUAGUAUAUGCAAACCCGCACACUCCUCAACGGUUUUAUAAAGACAUUAAGCAUAAUCUAUCAGCCUCAAUCUCUAGAAAUCCACAAUCAAAAUUAGAAACCAUCUCCAACUCAAGUUUAAUAACCAAAUCACAACUUUUCACCAUCACAAUUCAAAUGUCAAUGGUCAAGUCCAUUGAUUAAUCUCUAUUAAAUCAUAACUUUUCACCAUUGAUUAUAUAUAUAUACCACAAUCCAUUUCAUAAACCAACUGACGAAUCAGUAUAUAACAUUUCAUAAACCAUAUUUAAAAUCAAGAACUUCUCGUGAGUCUUUCCUAAAAUGUUUCAUAAACCCAUUUGCAAGCAAUCAGUUUAAACUAUAGUCAAAAGAUAACAUUUCCACAUCUAAAACACAAAUGGUAGUAAAUGCUCAAUUAAAUUUAUGCAAGGAAUAUGCUCGUGCUUAACUCAUAACAUAACUAAACCAUUUCACUUUUGAAAUAUGAGUUUACAAACUCAAAGAAGAUAUGGUAUUACUCACUUGAGAAAAGCCCAAAAUCAACCUAUGGUGGUUACUUAAGCCGACGCACUUACAAUCCUAUCAAUUAUUCGAAAACCGAUAUUAAAAACCGAGUAAUACACAACUCCGAUGAACAACUUGACUAACCACGUUCAAUUGUUCAAUGUAUUGACUCCUAAGCGCUAUGAAGAACCUCAUUUAUGGCAUAUGUUUGUCUUUUGCCAUAACACAUAUUAUCUGUUACGUAUAACUUGCACGCAAAACUUGGAAAUUUCUGUCCAAACAAACCAUACUUCAAAAUCAAGUUUCGUCUAACCCCAAUGCUUCACAACGCCCUAGACUACUAUUUUCAUGAAAAUCAUAGCUCCAAAUACUCCUUAAUCGAACCUCGUAGUUCAAAAUUUACAUAACUCCAAAUUUGUGCCAUAACUUCCAAAAUUACUUCAAUUAGAUGAUGAUCGGCUUGAAUACUUACCAAGUGUAGCGAUUUGCAAUUGAUUUGGCUAGUCGAGGUGUCCAAAUUAGCUAUGCAUGAAAAAAAUUCCUUCUUUUUUCUUCUUCCCCUUAUUUCCUUCUUCAAGGUCGAGCUUCUCGUUCUUCUUCUUUUGCUUCUUCUGUCUACUGCCUUGACUUCAUGUGAGAUAAGUGUGGAAGAAUCAAUGAAUAUGGGCUGACUUUGUCCGUUAAAUACAUGGGUCUAAGCUUCAUGGGCCCAUGUUUUACAUCCACAUCAUAACGAGAAGCUAAGUAGCACCGACACUGACACGUGAGACGUGACACGACACGACACGACACGCUAACAUGUCGUUUUUGAAAAGUCAGAGAAUUCCGACAUGUUGGGACACGUUAUAUAUUAAAUAUAUAUUUUUAUAUAAUUAUCAUUUUUAUGAUUAUUUCAAUCAAAUUCAUAAAUAAAUAAAUAAAUAAAUAAAUAAGCCUUUAAUGAAUAUAUACUAAAAACAUUAAUCCGUCAUUUAUUAAUAUCAUUCAUUGUUUUAAUUUGACAAAUUCAACUCUAUUUCAAUAAUUCAUAAAACUUGGAGAAAAAACAAGCGAUCCAUAUUCUGGACUCGCGUGUUAGAUAUAUUGGAAGAGGAGAAAGAAAACUUAAGGAGUAAAUUGUGUAUUACGGGAAAUAGGAGUCAGAAGAGGAGAAAACUAGAUUUUUCUUCUUUCUCCAUUUAUUAUUUUCAUUAUUGUAUUUUAUUUUUUCACACACACACAUUGACAUCUCAUUUAUUGAAUUUUUAAAAUUAAUCUCGAUAUUGAAAUCACGUGUCGAAAACUCAUAUGUCAGAAUUCCAACUCGAGUGUCAAAGAGUGUUGAGAAAGUUGACCAGUUGUCAGAUUUUCUGAUACGCGUUGACCAAGUGUCAGAGAGUGUCGGACACAUGUCGAAGUGUCCGACACGACACGAAGGCUCUUGGAAAGUGUCGGUUCUUCAUAGACGAGAAGCGCACCCUCACGUCGUUGCAUGUGGUAGCGUUUGCCAAUCAGAGAACCAAAACUAAAUAUCUCCUAUGCAUGUCGUUAGGUGAUUAGUUUUUAUAUGAAUGCCCUAGAAACUAUCUUAUCUGGGUUGGUUUUCAAUUUUUGACCCCCGAAAUCGUCUCUCUUGACCCUAAAACAGGCUUAGAAUCGACCAGCUAGUUUCAGAGUCUAGUCGGGAAUUGGCCAAGGCAUUUUCUCUCUCAUUUUAUUAUACAUACAAUAUGCAUGUCCCAAGCAUGAAUAUGAUUCUUUCUGUUGGAUGAUAAAAUGUCAACCGUAUUCAAUUUCAAUAAAUAUUUUCUAUCUUAAAAAGGAGUAUAAUUACUUAGAAAUAAGGUAAACCAGUUUAAUUCUAGGUUCUUCCCCAUAACAGACCUUACAAAUUCUGGGUUUCCAUGUAAAACUGGCCUAUUUAAAGCAUGGAACUUGAAACCGAACCAGUCAAGACCAAUUCUCGAUUGAACCUAACACCUAACCAGUUAAGGCCAAUUCUCGAGUUGAAUCAAUCUAAUUGCUCACCCCAAGCAUGUUGCACUACUACUGAAUUUGGUUGCUAGCGUAGCUUGAAGAUGAAAUGCAAGUCGAAACCUCCCGUCUUCCAGAGAAGCCAACAAUUUUUUGGUAUUGGAAAUGCCAUUACGAACCAAAGACUGCAUUUUCCAACGCUGUAGAGUUGUUGGUACAAUGCUCGAUUUAUAUUACGAUCACCAUAAUCUCGCUAAUCACAUUAUCUACUCGGAUUCCGCGUUGUUUGCUUUUCCCUCCGUUUCUGGUCCAGGUUUACAUGUUGGGCACAAAAAUUACAACACAAUAAUCGAAGGUGACCCUGCGAGUUCUUUGUGGCAACCUUGCUGUUCUUUCUCCAAUCUGCAAACCACAUGCUAAGCCAGCCAAAUAUCCGCGGACAGACCGUCCUCAUUCGUCUGUUGCACAAUGCCUCAACUAUCGAGCCACUGUAUUCACCAGAGGGGGAAAAUGAUCUAUUCCUCUUCAAUUGGAACACGAGCAAUUACCAAGCUGAAGGCAUGUUCCUCCAAUUCAAGAGGUCUUCCAUCUCCAGCUGUGUUAGAGUAGCUACAGUGCCUUCACCAGUCUAGCAGGCCUUGCCGUGCUUGUGAAGCUAGCAUGCAUCCCUCGCGUCUCAUAUCAUACAGUUCACGGAAGGCUUCUUUAAUUGCCUAUAGCAGCCUAUUACUUUCCAUCAACCAAGAGCAAAUGCCCCAUUUUAGUUUAUACAAAAUGAUCAAGUAAUGGUUCAUAUCAGAGGAGAAGCGGGAUAUAGGUAAUGUGAAAAGUGCAUGAAAGUCAUACAUGUGCGACUGGGCCAUUAUACUUGAUACAGUCAAAUUGCUUUUGUCCAGUAGCUUUUACAUAGUUCCACGAGUACCAUCAGUCUAUAGUCCCAUUCUCUAAAUAAGAUUGAAGUCAGGAAAUAGUGUUAGGAUAAUAGGAGACAGGUUGUUUUACACGUUUUAAAAGGCCACAAAUCAAUCUCAUCAAUUAGCAAGAACAUGGAGGACGUGGAGGCAUGAUCUUAAUUUUUCACUAUUGUCUUCUCUUGCUGUAUCUUCAAAAACUAGAAACGAUCAAAACAAAAGACCAUAUAAAAGCUAUUAUCAUGAUCUCUCUCUUUCACAGAUCAAUCUCAUCAAUUAGCAAGAACAUGGAAGACAAGGAGGCAUGAUCUUAAUUUUUCACCACUUUCUUCUCUUACUGUAUCUUCAAAAACUAGAAAUGAUCAAAACAAAAAAAGACCAUAUAAAAACUAUUAUCAUGAUCUUUGAGUCUAAGAGAUUACACAGGUGUGGUGAUUAAAACUCAAACCUUAAAUGAGAAAGACAAGCAUGCCUAUUCCAUGAAAAACUUUCGCAAUAGCAGAUUAAUUACAAGCAAGCUUAGGUUGUUGUUAGACUCUGCCAACCUAAAAGAUCAGACUAAAGUGCUUUCUCGAGCCGAUAUUCAAUUUCAUGCCAAAACAUGAGGCUCAGUUUAAGUACACCGGAUUCUUUGAACAAUUAGAUCAUCCCCGGUGCUUUAACUAUGAGAAAGCUAAUCCAACAAGACAUGCGCUUUACACGCAUACAUCAAGCUUAAGUACACCGGAUUCUUUGAACAAUUAGAUCAUCCACAGUGCUUUUAAUAUGAGGAGGCUAUUCCAACAAGACAUGCACUUUACACGCAUACAUCACGCUGACUAGAAACUUUUCUCACAUUCCACAUACGUCGAUAAUCUAAAAUCAAUUGAUGUUCUUCAAUUACUCUUCUGAACAAAACAGAAGACAUGCUGUCUUCUAGCUCAGGAGGGAAAUGAGUCCCAUAGAAAGGAACUGAGAAGGUAAAUUCUCAAAACUGAUCAUCCGCGAGGAGUGCGGAGAAACUUAUGUCCUUCUGCAUACUAACAAGGGAAACACAAUCCGACCUGUGCUAGCAGAAGAAUUAUGUCCUUCCAAAGGAGAUUGAAGGAGGGAAGUCAAGUGACAAGCAAACAUGAAAGUUAGUGCAGUCAUUCCUUGUCCUUGUAAUCACACUCAUAUUGCAAGUACCAUCAUCCUUUAGAUUUACCAUUUAUAAGGGAAUGGAUACUUUCUCAAGAAGUAUCGAUAAAUCUGAUUCCAUUCUCAAAGUUUCAAGAGUGAAACUAUUGCCAAGAGAAUUAAAGAUUUUGACCACUAAUCACUUAGAUUUGCAAGAACUAUCUCAAAAUCAAUCACCUAUCAAAAAGUUAAAAAAGAUGCAAUUCGAUCACUCCAAAUCCCACGCAUCUGCACUGUGAUAAUCCGUCGCGCACUUCACUUUCCGGGCACAAAGUUGGUGGCGCAAGCCCAGGCAUUGUUGCUGCAGGGUCAGCAAGGUGAUCAGCCAGGUUCUCCAAUGGGCCUUUCCCUAUCACAAUGGCCUGGAUGAAGAACCCAGACAUGGAGAACAUGGCCGACCUCCCAUUUGUUUAUCUCCUUCACCUUCAGCCCUGCGAAAGCCGCCAUCCGUGAGGCCCAACGGAUCGAAGUUGCAGGUAGAUCGGUCCGUCAGCUCUUCGAGUGGGCCCCCCUGCGAACCUGUAUCCUUCCACUGCACCCAUUAGGAUUACCUACGUGGCCCAGAUGGCCAAGAUGUUGUGCAUCGAUCAGGCUCGUGUUCCCCAAAUAGUCCAACCCGCCCUCACUGAAUAUCUGUACACCAGCCUUAAACCAAACCGCCUCGCCAAACUUGACCCCAUUGCAGGACAAGCGCUCGGGGAAGAUGCACCCAAGGACGCUGAGCAUGGCCCACCUCGCAUGGAUGACCUCGAGCUCGUGGUUCUUGUCAGAGGUCUCCGGAUCAGCUCGAGCACACCUUUGAGCAGUGUGAACUGCGAACAUGCGAAUCUUAGGAGGAGAUGCCGUCUUAUGCGGAUUGAGAAAUGUAAAUCCCAUUCCAGCAAAUCAAUCUUCUUUUCUUGCUGCUCAACAAAUGAAAAUACCAACAGAAGCAAAAGACAGAUGAAAAGAAUAUAAUACUGAAUGAAGUAACUCAACACUUGGGAGUCAGAAUUAGAGAGAAAUGAGCAACAUUUCUUUCGAGCAUUAUGUCCAACUUGUCCAACUGCAGUAAUUAAGAAGUCAAUCACUUACAUUACAGUUUUUGAGUAUCCCUCAGAUUAAACUUAAUAAUUGAUCCAUCCCUUUGGCAGUGAACAUCAAAAAAUAUUGAGCAUCACUGAUUUCUCUUCCUUGCCUAUCUUAUGAGCAUGGUGGCUCAUAAAAACACCCAGCUUGAGUGCCUCCCUUCCUUCUUCAAGGGCUCUUUUUCUUAUAGCCGUUGUUAAACUAGCACCCCAGAGAGUGGCAUCACUGGUCUCUUUCUCACCUUCAGUUUCUUUUCAGCAUUGGAUCCAUCAUCUGCCACAUUGUCGCUACUUCGGUCUGCAUUCUCUACCAGUUUCAGUUGCAUCUAUGUACUCAAAAUCUUCUGGACUGCCACUUCCCCACCACUCAUUUGAGGUGACAUACAAGCCAUUCGAUGGAAAUCCAUACUUGAAUUCAUCCAAGACCGCCAGACUUUUUAUCAAGCUUCCACUAAUUACACUUUGGAUCUGCCCGCUUUGGCGUUGCUUACUUUCCGGCUGCUGCGAGCUACGAGGCAGUACCAUUCCCUGCACUUUCGAUGUAUUGCUGCUACUUUGGUGAUAAGACUUGCUGCAUCAACAAUAAAUUAAUAUAAAGACAUUUUUAAAUGAAUAUCCACAAAAAUUGCAUCUCCAGAAUAUGCAUUGUGACUCAGAACGAUAAUCAAUCGAAGGUGGGUAUAUUGUACAUGGAUAAUCUGGCCUGCUUCAGAAUAAAAUAUUGAUCAAGUUGCCAAACCGAUACCUACCUUUGUUUCCUUAUCUUCGACAUUAAAGCAAGGUCUCAGAUUCUAUAUCUAGAAGCUAGAUUCCCAACUUGUUUUACAUCCUCUGACAAAGAAUCUGCGACACAAGCCAGAAUUGCAUCAUCAGUGUGCACAGAGAUGCAAAACCUGCCUAAUACAGCCAUGAUCACCAUAUAUAUAUAUAUAUAUAUAGAGAGAGAGAGAGAUGGUAGGAUGAGAUAAGACAAUACAACAGACUGAAACGGCCAUGAUGUAUAAACAGUGUGCUGUAAGGCAAGUAACAUUGUGCAACAGCACCAUUCAGUUGCAUAAACACCCCAAAAGUCCUCUGCUCUACUUCCAUAAAACCAGUUGAGCUGAACACUUUAAAAGGAGUGUUUUUUUUUUUUUUGGUGAAAGUAAGUGAUAUAUUAGGAAAAUGUCAAACUGUACAACCCAACGGUUUCAAAAACUUACACUCAAGAUGGAUAUGCCCAUUCUAAGUGGAAGGAAGCUGAGGAAAAAACCAAGAGGCAGCCGAGAACGGCCAAAAAGCAAAAAGCAGACCAACACCUAGGAUGACCUAGAACAAGAUGCCUAGCUAGUCGGCCCACAAUCAGCGGAAGAGAAGAUACAGGGGUCCAACUCCCACAAGCGCUGAAUCCUCCUGUUUCUGUAGGAGUCCUCUGCGUCUUUGAAGGUAGCAGCCUUAUCUUUAACGACCUUGAGGAGAUGCCUCUUCAUGGCCAGAAGAGAAAGCAGCUCCCCCCUGAAAAUAAUAUUGUUCCUGUUCUUCCAAAUGAUGUGACAGAGCGCACCAAAAGAAAAACGGGCAAAUACUUUUGUAGAACUCCUUCCCGAGAGCAAAGAGAUAGCCCAACUAAGAGUCUCCUCCCAAGUCCUAUGGGUCCAAGGAAGAUUGCACCUAGCAGCCCAAAAGAAAGCAAUACUCAAAGUAAUGCGACAUCCAAAAAAGAGGUGAUCGAUAGAAUCAGGCACCUCGUUGCAAAAAGCACAGGAAGCAGCGUCAAUCCUACCAUGGGACAUGAGAAGAGACUGUGUAGACAGCCUUCGCUUGGUGAUUAGCCAAAGUUUAAGUUGAUAUCGAGGCAGGAUAGCAUUGCUCCAGAUGAACCGAUGCCAUCUGUCUCUCUCCUUCUUCCGCCUUAUGGUCUCCCAAGCCGAGGCAACCGAGAACACACCCGUCGAUUUCUAAAAGGAGUAUUUGAUGUUGACAAUUAUAGAAAAAUACCAACUUAUUUAUCAAGUCGAAAAUCUUUCCAACUCUAGAUGGGACUAGACCUUUUCAUAGGACCAGGGAAAUCAAAAUACCAUUUCCUCAGCUCUUUGACCUCAGCUAUAGGAAAUUAGUUGCAUUCUUAGGACAAGUGCGAAAUAUUCCCGGAUGCGUUUAUUUGAUGCAUCCAGCUCCAGCACGUACUCAAAUUCAUCGUUUUAGAAUUCACUAUCAACAAAUUUUUGGCUUUUUAUGCUCAAGUCAUUGGAACAUCUUUGCAUUUUCACAUACACAUUGUUGGAAUAUUUAAAUAUCAGUUUUCAUCUAAUAUUAUAAACUUUUGCUUUAGACUUUCUAUAUGGUAUCAAAGCGAGUUCAAAUCUUUCCAAACCCUCUAUUUGCCUCCCCAAUUAGGCCUAAGUCCACACUACGUAUGAGGGAGGAGUGUUAAAAUAUUUAGAUAUUAAACUACACAGUUAUCUAACUGCUAAAGCUUUUGGAUUGGACAAAAAAAAAAUUCCAUCAAAAAAUACUUCGCAUGUAUUUCCUUUCAAUCAAAAAUUACAAUUGAGAUAGAAUUGCAAAGUUUUCUCCUAAUACAGUGAGAUAUUGCAUAAUACCAUUUGUGACUAAACCAUAUUCCAAUCAUCAUCACCACUUCCAUAGUUUUGAAGUAGCGACCGUAGGCCAAUGCUCACACUUGGAGCAUCUUUCUUUACCACAACAAUUGGCACAGAGGAAGUAGCUGUCGUCAAUGAAUCUGUUCGCUUGUCUGAAAAUUUCUCAGAAAGUUUCCUCUUUCUGAGAGUACUGCUCAUUGAUUCAUCAUUAUUAGUUGAAGGUUAAGUCAAAUCUUCCUCCUCCUUAAAAUCUUCAUCUUCGAUCCUACGAACAAAAUCUUUGGAUGUAUGGAGUACAAUUGAUUUGAGAAGCACUUCAUCCUCUUCCUCCAGCUUAUUUUCCUUUGCUGCAGAUGUACCUUGUAGAACCUCCAAUAUUGCAUCUACGUCCACAGUUGCCUGUCUAGACUUCAUUGAUUUCAAUUCAUCAAGUCUAGCGAGAAUAUCCAUCUCUCUCUUGCUAUCAUGUGUCUGAUUCUCCAAGCUCUUCAUCGCAUCACCAUCUCUUUGGCCUACCUCCUUCUCAUUCUCCAUUACCUCAUCCUGCUUACGCCGGGGCUCAAAAUUUCUUAUCACUCCUAACUCUACAAUGUAAACCGAAUUCUGCAGAUCAGUUUUGAUUGUGAGCUCAGCAGAGCAGUUGGUGCAUUUGAAGUAAAAUCUGAAUAUCAGAAUCCCCAAAUAAGUCUAGCAUAUGACGACCUCCUUCAUGGAAUUGAACUUGGUCCCCUUGUAGAUUUAAUUCCCGCAGGUGUUGCAUCCGAUGCUCAUCAAAAGCAUCAUCCAAACCUUAAUCUGCUGACUUUUGGGCCUCCCCAACCUAGGCAGCUCCGAGGGGUCGAAGCCCGGCGGGUAAUAUUUUUUUAAACACCUUUCGUUCCCCCAUUUCUUCUUCUCUCAACUCCAAACCAAGACAACGAACGCUGACGCCACAAAAUCUCUGCCCCUCACUCUGAUCGACUAAUUUUUAAACAAAACGGUCGAAUUGAUUUCACUACCAGAAUGGUGUGGAACCCACAAGUUCUCGAUCUACUAACCUCGAUUAAGGUUCUAUGCUCGGAUCAAACCUUAAACCCCACGAAACCAUCCGAAACAAGCUGAAGAGCAGGAGAAAAAGGAGGAAACGAAAACUAACAGAGUCUGCUAAGGCGCGUAGGAGAUGACGAGCGUCCGUGGAAAAAAGGGGGAAAAAUCAGUCGAAGCUUCACUCACCUCGCGAUGCCGCCUCUUGCGCAGUAUAUUCAAUCUCGCCGGAGAUCAAACGGCGGCGCGAGGAUGUUCCAAGGGUGGCCGGAGGUCGGUGGUGGCGUGGCGUCUCAGGUGAUCGGCUUCGGGGAGGGAUGACGGAGUUAGGGGGGAAAUACAGAGAGAGCAAAAGCGGGCCGGAGAAAUUUCAAUUUUUGGAUAUUAGUAUUUAGUAAUUUCUCUGUUUAAUUAGUAAUUUUCAGUUAAUAACUUCCUCCUCUAACAAGUAAAUAUGCAGAUAAUGAUGUGGCUCGAAAUUAAUAAUAUAUGUGCACGGUGGACACCUUAACUUUUACAAAAUUGCAAUGACAUUUUUAGCUCGAUAACAGAAGUCUUGAAAUUUCAUCCGUUUUUUAAACUCAUGAUAUCAAAUAAAUUACUCAUAAAUAAAUUUAAAUAACAAUGUAAAAUGACUUUUUGAGCUGUUUAAAGAUUCAUUAAGUAUGAAUAUCAUUCUUGAGUUUUUAACUUAUUUAUAAAUAAAUCUGAAUUACUUCGAGGAUAUAUUACAAUCUAUGAAUUAAUAUAUGUGACAAUUCGAAUAACUUGAGAAAAUUGCUAGUGUGGAAAAUCUGAGUGUCCGGAAUUUAUUAACAGUGAUUCGAGAAAACAAGAUUAUGGGUUCUUAAAUUACGUAAAGAUUCGCAGCAGAAGGUUUGAUGCAUCCAAUGGCAAUACAUAAGACAAAUUUGAACAAAAUAUUAAAAGCAAAAUGUAUAAUACAUGCCUUCUUGAUAUUACAAAGUUCAAAAAAUCAAAUUCAGCAGAACAAAAAAAUCUUAUACAGCAUUUGACAGGGAAAGAGGAGGUGUCAAGUUGACAGUAUAGACAAUGAACGACCCUCUUGUGCAAGUUCAUGCAGCACAAAGGAGGGGAAAAUCACAUCUGAAGACGGUAGCGAGGGACGUGAGCUAUCUGAGUUCCCAUCCUAAUGAGGAGGCCUUAUGCUGUCUUCUCUUUCCUUCCAGCCAGAAUCAUCGAAAUCUGAAGGCCUCUGCUGAAUGCUUGGUUGAAGAGGAGCCGGAUUUGGAACUCCGAAACGAAGGGGAACCACGACAGAACCGCGAUCGGCAUGAACAGCAACAACCCCAUUGUGUAUUCGUACGCCCUCGCCAGCUCCUUCAACGAAUCCCAGAGUCCGCACCAUUUAAGCAACGGCCUGCAUGCUUGCCCAAUCUGUCGAGAGCAAGAGAAGAUCGAUCUCAUUAGUUUUGCGGUCCUAUAGAAAGCGCAUGGAGAGGUCACGCAGCUUGAAAAUUUACGGAGGACUAAUCAUGAUAUGAACGUGAGGAGUGCUUUGUGCAAAGGUAGUUGUGACUUGGGCAAGUCGAGAACAACCCACUGCAUACAUGAAGCUUCUUUUAAGAUUGCACUAGUCCAGACUUACCAGAAUAAGAGCCCAGCCGGAAGGUAAAAACGCAAGGAUGGCAGCAAAUAUAUCGGAUACAACGAGUCCACACACGACGAAUAAGACUGUCAUAACCGACACGAAUCCAAGGAAAAGAAGUGCUUUCAGGAUCCUAAACAUGAGCUGGAAGUCCGUACUGAAUCUUCGUCUUCCCAUGGAUACCAUCUGAAAACAUUAAGGCAAUAAUAAUUUGCAAAGGAGAACACGUUUGUUGCAGUUUGAUUUAAAUAAGGUAACAGAAAAGCAGCAGACAGUAAAAAUGAUCAACUGGACUUUAUUCAUGAUAAUGCGUGUGGUUAACGUGCAGAUCUAGGAACAAAACCUCCAUAUAUCAUACUGCGUACCUUUAAAACUAGCAGAGUGGUUAGCAACACCACCCAAGAAAUUCCAUAAAUCUACAAAAGUAAAGAAGUGCCUUAGAGAAUGAUCCUGUGAGAACAAAUCAGCAACAGGAGGAAAGAGAAAAUUGCAGUGAAAUUUAUAGAUUACCAGUAUAGUCUUGCUGUGGCGAACUAUUUGAAGAUGGUACACAAUCCCAUACUGGUAAAUAAAGAAGCGAAAUGCAAGUAUUAUCUCAAGGAUUGUUCCCCUUGGGUUUGUAUGCUUCAGAUGUUCCUGUUCUUCCUCCCACCAUGAUUCCCAACUUUUAUCAGGUUGUAUCCCAAUUCCACCACGAUUACCCAUCCACCUCUUCCAGUCUGCCCAAUCAUCUACAGUCUUUUGCCAGUCAAAACCAGAUGGAUUGAAUAUGAACGGUGCAAACAACCAUGAACCAACCAAGAACCACAUGGAGACAGUGAUGAACAAGUAGAGACUUGAACUGCGGUAUGACUCCCCAUAAACUCCAUAGACAAUCAACAGUAUAAGCAGCUCCAGCCCUUUCACAAAGUGACUUCGUGAAUAAAGCCUGUAAUUAUCACUGAAUUUUGCAUGAAAAACAACAAACCCACGACCCGUUGCUCGAUAUUUGGAUCCUCCAUGUAAGAGUGUUCUUCCAUAAAAAUGAGCCUUUGUUCCAAGUUGAAAUGUGAAAAACACAGAAGCUAGCUGCAGUUGCAUAAUGACAAAAUCACCGAGGGCAGUCCGAAACCCUUUUUCCAGGCCAGUUUCCAUGACCAUGGGCAGCACCAUUAAUAAUCCUAAUUGAAAGACAGACUGGCUAGCCAAGGCCUCUUCGAGAGCCUUUGUGUGACGUAUGCUAGGAUUCUGAAGGAUCUCACUUUCCAACCCACUCAUAACCAUGUACAACCGUCCAUACAAGAAAACAUACACCGUAAGCACGGUAACCUGAAUGAAACAAGUCCAAAAUGGUAAAAAGGAAAGCUACCAUGAAUAAUCAAUGCAAAAUUCAGAAGAAAAAGAACGAGAUAAAAGUCUUGUUGCCUACCGACCAACAUAAUACCCCCCUUCCUAUCUCCAUCCAUGGAAUAAAUUACAGCCCAGAAAAUGAAGUACUAUUCCAAAUCUUGGAACUGUUUUAGCCAAACUGAUAUUUCUGUACUAUUUCAUUAACGAAGUAGAAAUGACAUAUUCAUGGAUCACCUGCCAGAAUUAGACAUCCAAGGAGGAACUGUGACCCCUUUGUUAAGGGACCACCCAUUAAUUGUACUGACUCUCGGAAAGACAGACUGGACCUAGAAUUACCCCCAAGAUUCACAAGAAUUAACUGCUUUGAUUACCAAGCAUUUUACCAUGUGACAGGAAACUGCAAUUACAAAUUAUGAACCAAAAGUUCCAUCAUUUUUUUAAUACCAAAUUGGAAAGAACUAGGAGAGUUGCUGCAAGACGAGUAGAGAGGAGUGGUUGAUUUACCAUACUACUGAAGUAGAAACCGACAGUCGUAAAAUAGAAUGACAGCAUUCUGUAGAAGUCAAAUCGCCGCCCGAGCCGAUAAACAUCACGACUAAGCGUCUGCUCACCAUUUCCAUUUGCAACCUUUGCCUCAAAAAGUGAUAUCUGGUUCAUCCCUACAUCUCGCCCUUUUCCCACUUGAAUAUACUCAUGAUGUGUAAUAAAUCCCCCACGGAGAGUUGAAUUGAACCCUGCAGUGAGAAAUGGUCAGAUUCUGUCCCUGUGAAAUAUCAUAUAAAUAUGCUAGGGUUACCAGAAAAAAUAUCCUCGCUCAAGUUGAUUGUUUUUGAAGCCUUGCUUAUGCCCCCCCGUGUUAUGUGGAAUAACCUGUCAAAUAUAUCAGGAUGGCCAUAAUGGAAACGGACCCUGCAACAAGAGAAUGAGAAACACAAUUGCCUUUAGAUCAUUAUUGGAACAAGCUGAUCUGAACUCUCAGUUAUUGAAUCAGAGUCUCGCUGCAAAUGCAGAGAUAAAUUAUUGCUUGAAAUGUGAGAGUUAGUGGUUACCACAAACAUCAGAUCGGUACUUAGUAUAAAACUCAGACUCUAUACAUACCUUUUUAUUUCCUUCCUUCUUUCUUUUGUUUAAGAUAUUAACAAGGAACCUAUGCUCUUCCUUCCUUCUUUCUUUUGUUUGAGUUACUAACAAGGAGUCGGGAACAUUAGUCCAUUAACUGCACGCUUUCCAGGAUACUUUCGUAGCCAAUUUUUGCAUUGAUUAGCCUCCUGAUAUAUCUUAUCGUGCCCUAUAAAUACAGGUUCCAAUAGCUCCUACACUAAAGUUCUUAAGGGUACAAAGAAUGUUGUACGACAGAAUCAAUCCCACCUAAAUGCUACAAAAGCGUAGACAGAGAAUUUAUUGAAUCUACUAGAAAUAAAGAAACGCAAAGAUUUUAAGUGACAUUUUACUAAAAUAAUGAAGUGUUUGUUAGAUUAAUGGUCGUACAGUACAAUGUUCACAGUUAUAUCCCACAAAAGCAACCCUGACAUUAGAGUUAUGUGGCUUGCUAUAAGAUACAAGAAAAAGUCCACAUGUCCAUAUGCACUCAUUCUACAAUGUGAAUCUCGCUUUAAAUCAAGAAAACUCUUUGCUUCACAUGCAUAGAUAAUAAACGAUUCCUUCCAUAUUGAAAUGUCUGCCACUACUUAUUUCUGAAUAUGUAUUUAGCUGCAUUACAGUCCUUAAUUGAUUGUUGUAAGUAAUGACUCAUAUUCGAUAGGGCUAAAUAAUAAGAUUCAUCAACUUUAUCAAUAUAUAUAUGAGACUUCUUUCCUGUGCAUGGCAGUGGCAAAAGAUAAUCUGCAAGCAAUUCUAGAAAUUUUCUCGUAAGAGCCUAAAAUGAAGAUAGUUCAUUUGCUUUUCGAGAAAAAUAAUGUACUUAUCAAAUUGGAAGGGGUCAAAUAUUAUUCGAACCACCAGAAGAAAAUUUUCAUUUUACUAGUUGCUAGAGACACCGAUAUCGUACUGUAAUUUUUGUUUAAAGAUGUUGAAUUUACAAUACAAUCAUGCAAAUCACCAAACCUACCAUACUGUGGUUUUUGAAUAUCCAUAUUUGCUAAUAAUAUUAUACUCGCAGACAGUGGCUCAAAACAAUCCAAAAAACUAAAGAUUUAUAAUCAUAAAUGAUUCCCAUCGUUUUCAAUGACCAGGCAUGUGAUCCAAAAGUUCUUUCUGCUAGACUAAUGCAAUGCCCUAGCUGCAAUUGUGGAAGUCAGUGGAAGUUUUGAGCUUCUCUAAGAAACAAAGAAGAAUUCGCACAAGUCCACUGAGAUGUCUCUCUCAUCAGCAAAUGAAGUAAAUAUGUAAGGCCAUCGAAAAGAGUAUGUGAAUGUUCAUGUUCAGUCGCAAGAAGGAGCAAAUGACAUAGUCCCACGCAAAAAUUCAGGUUUCAUGAGAAAAUCUGCCUUUCGCCCAAAGAUAGAUCUUAAGAAAAGAAAAAUCAAUGUGUCCGGAGUGCAGACUCCGGUGACUACAAAGAUUGAGUUGACAGAAAUGCAUGAAGCCACAAAUUCUUGGCUUACCUUAGGGGAUUUGCCAAGAUUCGCUGGCCGAUAGUGACAAAGCUGGUCUCCUGAUUGGACAUGAACCAAGCUAGCGAUGAAACACUGUAAAAAAAGUGAAAAAAUAAUGAUCUAACCAUUCGCAUUGGACAAAUCUGCUCUGAUUUCUUUCAAACCAGAUCCUUUGAACUGGAUAAAGCAGCCAAUAACAGAAGAUUUCUGCACAUAUAAGUAUUCGAAGGUUCACCUUCCGGUAAAAAUGUGCUCCCGCAGGCCCAAAAUAGUAGGUUUUCUCUGCCCACGACGCAGCUUUGGAAAUUCCUCCAAUACAUUUCUAAUCUUGAAAGCUUCUUCAAAGUAGUUAUCCUAGAAAUAAGGAAAGCAAAAAAAACCUGAGAUACUUCAUCCUCCUGCAUAUUCCAUGAAAAGACAUAAUAAAGCUACCUGAUUCAUGUCUAUAGUCUGCAGUGCCUCCCCACGAGUAAAGAUGAUAGCAUGAUUUUGAUUUUCUGGUUUUCCUUCACCAAUUUCUGUCGGAGGGCCUGGAAGCUUGAUACGGUAUAUUUCCUACAAAUUGAAUUGAUUAUCCAUUUGCAGAAAAAGGUCCGCAGAAAUCCCACUGAUCAAGAUUGCAUGGCAUUCUUGUUACUCAGAAAUGUGGCCACCAUAUUGAAAUUUGUAUCCUCACAUUAGAAGAGAUGAGUAAAUGUUAUAAUUCAUGUACUUCUUAAAGGUUAAUAGCGUUAUCAGACUGAUUGACGUAUUGAAUACUGAUAUAAUCCCCAUUAAUACAUCCAAGGUAGUUGCUUCUAUAAGGUAGACCAAUAGCUCCCAAUAGCAACUCCUCUCAAAUAAUUAACAGACGGAAUUCCACAUAGGCUUGACAAAGAGCUUAUAUUUCACUAAAUUUUCUUCACGAUAGAAGUAACUGAUCAGAUUAAUUCAUCCUUCUGAGAUAAAAAGUAAACUCAUGCAAUUCAGACACUCUAAAGUUGCUUGACACAUCAUCAUGCAUCCCGAAACUAGUUAAUUUACAAGGUGACUAGUUGCAUAUUUCAAUUGUCAAACAUGUUCAGGCUAAGAAAAGGGUUUAUCAUUCACAUUCAGUCAAAUCUACAUACACCACCGUCGGAGAAAAAUUACCAUAAGUCAAUUACUGGGCUUAGCAUUUCCAAAAUUUGCAAACACGACCGCUUCAAUUUAGCGCUAGUAGUUCCCCAGGUUCAGUGAUAAACGGACAGAAAGUAGAUGGAAGACAGUAGAGAAGCUUUCCAAUAUCUCCAAAAUUAGAGGCGGUGCAAAGGUAGACAGGAAUUACUCCUUCAGUCCCGUGAAAGCAUUAUGUGAAGAAAACAGUAAGGUAAAACCAUCACAUUUUGAAAUUAGAAAGAAUUAACCAUUGAGAGAAGAAUAUAAGAGCUUGAUAACAGAUAAUUUGGGGGUAUAAGACUGUUAUGAAUGAAAUUUUCUUAAUUGUUAGAAUGAGCAGGAUUUUCAGUUGAAGAACAAUAAAUCAACUUUGGAAGUACCAAUAAACUCAGGAAGAAGAAAAUAGGAAAAUGCAAACUUCUGAUGAAAUGGAUGUUGAUUGAAAGAUCUGGAAAAUUUUUCAAACACUCUAAUUUAAAAGUGUUAGAUAAUCCUACUUAAAGAUAUUGUUUUUUUUUCUUAAAUAUUGUUUAACAACACAUAUAAUUGAAAAAGCCACUAAAAACCCUAAACUUUUGCCCAAAAUGACAAAUUCACCCCAAACUUUUUUUGUAACACAAAAAAACCCCAAACUUUCCCAACUAUGAUACAUUUACCCCAAACUCUAUGGCCAAGGACAUUUUCGUGUUUUAAUUUUUAAAUUUUUUUAUUUUUCUUUCCUUUUUCUUGUUUUUUUUAUUUUUCUCCUUAUUCUCUCUUCCCCCGCGACCCAUGGCGGAGGGAAGCUAGACUCAAGGGAGGGCCACCAUCAUCGUCGUCGGGCAAGGGUGCUUGCCCGACCCAAGCGAGGAGAGCCCUCGCGAAAUCCAGCGAGGGCAACCCUCACCCACAUAGGGCAAGGGCAGCCCCUGCCUAGGCCAGAUUUGGCGAGGAAUGCCCUUGCCCAACACUGAAGAGGGCGGCGCUGACCCAAGUCCAGCUUCCCUCCACCGGCCAUGGCGGAGGGAAGAGAGCAGAAGAAAAAUGGAAAAAAAGAAAAAAAAAAUUAAAAAGUAAAAGAAGAAAAUGUCCUUGGGUAAAUAUGUCAUACGGAUACAAGUUUUGGAUUUUUGGUAUCACAAAAAAAAGUAAGUUUCAAGUAAAUGUAUCACAGUUGGCAAAGUUUAAAAUUUUGUGUCACAAAAAAAAAAGUUUAGGUGAAUUUAUCACACUGAAUAAAAUUUGGUAUUUUUGGUGAAUUUUUACCAACGUAUAAUUAACAAAGAAGGAGCCCCACACGCGAUAUAAGACCUAGGGCAGAACAAGUUAGAAAUCUCCACCCAAAAGCUCAAGCUGUUAAGUUGGGAAAGAGCACAUAUAUAAACAAAGACAUAGAAUGCGACAGAAAGUGCAGGAACGUGCCGAUAGUAUUCGCCAUAUAUUUGCGUGUUAGCUUUAGAUGUGCCUCAAAUUAUUGUGUAAAUUAAUACCCUACAGCCACCUGCACAGACUAAGAAAAUUAUACAGCGUUCUGACUAGAAAACCAAAGAUGUAGAAUCAAACGAUAGCCAAAGCAAGAAGCGAAGAUUAGAGGAGUCAUCUAGAUUAUACCCAAUAAGCAGAUUGAUUUCUACCCCACUUGAUGCCUAAUAUUCAACCAUGAGGAAUACUAAAUUCUAACUUACCUCAUCAAGUGAAUCACCUCCCUUCACAAGAACAGAGUAACAACACUUCUGAGAUAUCCCAUUCACCGUCUCCUCUCUUUCGUCUAUGUAAGCAACCCGUAGAGAAGGAUACCUAGAAUAUUUUAGUAUCAUUGAUAUCCAUCAGCCACUUUGGAACUUUCUGUUGAUUACUAUUGAAGUAACAUCCUUAAAACUUACAUCAGCAUGAGGUUCAACACGUUACUGUAACAACUUCUCUCUCUAGCAUCACUGGACUUCUUUUGAUUCCCAUAAACUUGGCAAGAGACAACAUAGGUGAACUUCAAAUCAGCCAGAGCCUGUGCAUAUUCUGUGAUUGCCUUCUCAUCCUCAUCAUUUAGAGCUGCAACAGAGACAUUGAGUCUUGAUCAGUAUCUGGAUGCCACUUCUUAUAGCAACUUUCAAACAAGGACAAAUCAAAAGCUGUAAAUCUGCAUUUCUUUCUUUCAUGUUAGAUGACUAACCGUUAUCUCCAGCUAAUUCAAGAUGGCAUUGAAGUUCUAGAGCUUCCCUGUAGUACAUCAUCCCUCUCACUAGCAGCAAAUGCACAUGGUAAGAACAGUCGCAAAGCAAGAAUAAUUAUGACUUACAAGCAUAGUAAUGCUUCUAGAUAUAUAAAUUCUCAACCUGUCCUAGCCAGAGUCUGGCCUCUGUAAGAGACCCAAGAACGUGUCUCCUGUUCCAUGUCUACGAUUCCAGAUUUUGGAUCUCUUAUCCGUUCAUUAAAAUUGGUCCACUCAUCUAGAUUGCAUGGCACAAGGCAUCAGUCAAAUUGUAUAAAGUGAACAAGUGAAUUAUAACAUACAAAGGGCAAACUUGCCUGGAUAGAUCUUCUGCAGGUAGAACAGAAUUGUAAUUCCAUCCUCGUUUUCCCUAUUAAGAUCGUCGGUGGAAUAGAGGACAUCUUCUUUGUAAUAUGGAGUCAAGACACUGACCAAGACGUAAAAGCAGAGGAGAGCCCAAAAGAAAAUGAUAAAUAGGUAUCUAUUAAACAACCAUCUGGGACACGCACAUAUAUAUCGCGCGCCCAUGCAUAUAUACAGAAAAAUGGUAAAAUGGAGCUUGGAGGUUGAGGAGCUUCAAUCCCUAUAAUCUUUACAUAAAUUAGAGAAAAUAUCAUAAUGCCACCAAGUCGAACCUAGGAUAUCUCUUUAUUACCAUGAGUAAUUAAUCAAACUGGAUGUGUUUUGAUAAAAUGGCUAAUAAAAGUAAAUAAAUCCAUUUAAUUUUUAUUUGAUUUCUCAAUCAGUAGUCAUACAUGAUUGAAAUGUUAGCAUCACCAUCUAUUAAAAAUUUGUAUAUGGUCAUAUCUAGUCUUUUCAAGUCAUCAAUUUAUCUCUAAAUAUCUGUAAGCACAACCAUGAUUUCACGUCAAAACAACUACACAUUUUUAAAAGAUAUGAAAUUAAAAAUGUCAUGAUUCUUUUUUAACUAUGACAAUUAGAAGCACAAAAACUGCAUGAAUAGUGAUUGGAUUUCCAACUUUCUUUUUUAAUCUAUAAUAGCAGCAGUGUUAAUAUACUGCAUAAAAACUCCGUCUAUUGCAAAAGCAAAUCAUUCUAUCAUCAUUUAUUAUCAAUGAGACUAAAUUGUAAACUUAAUGCGAUUUCCAGCAACUGAAUUGAACAAACAAGGUUGCCUCUUUCGAUGAAGCAUAGUAUCUAUUCAUGUAAAAACAGACCUGAAGGGCAGCAUUUUGCGCACUGUCGGAGCACCUGGCAUUUUCAUGAAUAAAGAAUUAGCAAAGAAAGUGAUGCGUCGACGAGCUUCCAAGUUUGAAGGCACGUUGAUGGCAGAUUCUUUGACUGUCAGAAGCAAAUAGAGCCGAACGACCUAGAAGUCAAAGAAUUAGAUUUUACUUACUACGUCAUUACUUGUGGUUUCUCAGACAAAAAAGAGUCAAGCACACCUUUUCUCUGUAGAUUUUGUGUUGUACCAAGCCAAUGUUGAUCUUCUCAAACAUCUGCUCCUUUCUAUCAUUUUUCGUAUGGGUGGGGGGGGUAUAACUAUUUCCUUUUUCCAGGAUCCUACAAGCAGCACAGUCAAGGACACAAACGUUUUGCAUCAACAUAAACAAGCAUGUUUGUCAGAACUUACCCAUGCCCAUUCUCCAUGACAUCCUCGGUGAUUAUCUCCAUGAUGUCUUGGAGGACAUUGAUUAUCUGGGAUUUGUACACUGUUGGGUCUUCAUGCUCACUUAGCUGCCAAAAUAACAAAAGAUGUUAAGAAGUGAGAUAUUCUUGAAACUGAGCUAAUUGGAGGGAAGAAGAGAAAAUGAUUCAACGGUCAGUCCUCCAAGAAUAAUUUUAUAUUCAUGUAUUUAUUGAGAUUAAAACUGAAGUUAGAUAUAGGUGACAAAAACACUUACCAAGAUGGUCAAGAAUUUCUCCAACUUAGUACUGAGCAAAGGCAAUUCACUUGUUUUAAAUUCAAGCAAAAAUCUGCGAUCUUCUAUGCUCUUAUCUACUCCAUAACAGAUUUCCCUUACGAUUCUGUAAAAAUUGAGAAAAGCAUGGUUUCUCAAUAGCCUUAACAGAAGAAAAAUUGCCACCAGUAUGAUACGACAUAUUAAAUAUGGAGUUACAGGCUAAAGUAUAUGUAAGUUUUCUCACUUACUUUCUGUCAGCUUCAUUUUCCAGGAGGUUAUAUAUGAUGUCCCGGAGAGUCUCAUAACAUUCAAUCACUGCUGUAUACAUAUAAUCAUCGUUCUUUAUCCUCUUAAACAAGUCAUCGUCCUCCUUGCGCUUAAAAUCUUUUGCCAUGUCUAAUGCUAUGGGAAUCUUUUGUAUGAAAGAAUAAUGACAAGAAGCCUGAAUUAGAGCAAAUAGAUGAGUAGAAAUCAACUUGUGAAACUAUGCAUACCUUGCUAGCAAGCAAGAAGGGAGGCCAUUGCACAACAGACACAUCAGUUGAAGAAGAUGGUACGAGGAGCAAAUCUCUUUCUCUGGAUUAAUCAGCCAAUGGAAGUGUCAGAGUAUCCGUUUGAGGCAGAAGACUGAAGCUAAAAUUGAGGAAGUGAAAUUAAUUCCUAAUUAUACCUGUCGCUAAUUAGGUCUUCCUCUCUCAUAGUCUGAAUAAAUUUGUUCCACAUUCUUGAAAAUUUUGCAAUAUUUUUCCUCAGCAUGGCUUCACCCUACCAUGGAAAAGUAGAAAUGCAUCAUAAACAUGAUUUUAUAAGAAAUGACACCCCUAAAUCUAUGAAGCGGCCAACAAAAAAGAAACUUAUUGAAUAAAGAUUCUAUGAAUAAACAUGGAACAUUAGAUCAACCAACAAUUGGAUAUACCUCUUGGCUCCUCCUGGUUUUCUUGGCAUCCGAUGAUGAUGAUGAUGAUGAUGGCAAAAGAUGUUCACUAAAAGCUUUGGGCACGGUUUCAAAUCUGGACCGCAACAUCCCUAGUGUUCGUAUCUUGAGAAAAGCAAGAAGGUAUUAUAAGCAAGGAGAAGUAUAUAGUAUCCUUAACCAUAAACCUAAGAGCUAAACUGUCUGUGUCAUGAAAAUUGGAAAUGCUUCAGGCAUUCUAUUUUUGCAGGAAGAAAGAAUUGUCGCUCACCUCGCCCAGAUGGCUAAAAGCACCAUGAAUGCCACCAAAAAGACUAGAGAAUAUGGCAUACCAAAUUUGUGUAUCCAUAAAAUAGACCUGAGAACAUAUCGCACAGGGCAUAUUGUCAUUAAAUACGGCAUACGCUAGAUUGGGAUCAUGACAAAACUACCCAGUCUGCUUACAAGAACUAUAGGGGCCCAUAUUGCAAUAACAACUCCAAUGUUAUGUGUCUUUGCAGCUGCAGAUGAAUAUUAGCACAGGCUUUUUCCCCCAGUUAGAAAAUACUAGAAACAUCACAAGAGUUAAAAGAAAACUUACAAUGUGGAAAAAACUCGUGCCAUUGAUAAUUAUCCAGAUGCAUCUCCAAGAUUAAUUGUGUUGGUCCAACAAGUGGUGAAAUCUAUGCACAAAAUACGCAUGUUUAAAUCUUUUAAGGAGAAAAUUGGAGAGCAGAAUGCUGCAGAGUAGCUACAUCUCCUGAACCACUAAAGCUAACAACAUCCACAAUCACAAACGCUCCACAAACAACGACCCCACAAUCAACUAACUGGAUAAAAUUUUCCUUUAUUCUAUGGACAUGCGCAAAACUAUCUUGACACGGUAUCAAGGCAACACUCACUUAUUCCACCAACGAUGCAUGCCUUGAAACAAGACUUGGGACCUCUUUCAGCAAGCAACUAAUAUGAAUUUCUAGAUGACACAUUAAAGUUUAUAUAGCUUUGAGCAAGACUUGCUGAUUAGUUAACAUACUUAUGUACUUAUAUCUCCCUGUAUGUGAUUAUUCAAGAUUUAUUCAUCACCUAGUCUGCCAUUUAUGUCGUCCUUUAAGUCAAAAUGUCAUACUAAAUCUGUGAUAGCUUAUUCUCAAGGAAAGCAGCAUCAUCUGUGAAGACAAGAUUGCCAGUACUUCCAUCAGGUGGGUAUUUCUCCAAUCUGUGACCUAUUUAAGGUGAUCAUUUGGGUAUUCUACACUAAACUUCUAACAUCAGAAAGGUUAAAUGAUGUGAUAAGAGAAUUGAUUCUAGCUCAAUUGCAUCAACUUUCUCCAAGCAAGUUUCACUGUUCAAUUUUACCGAGAUAACAAAGCCAGGAGUUAUAGAACUUAUAUGAUCUUUAAGUAAGAAAAGCAAACCCCACAUAAUCCAAACAACUAUAACUUGAUAAAAGAUGAUAACACCUCAACAUAGUAGCUGAAAGCCAGCUUGCAGACAAGCAGCAUGAUCCAAAACAUGGUGUACCUAAGACACAAACAAAACAAUGUACGAUCAGCAAGACACUCAUAUAAAAUAUGAAGCAGCACAUAUCUUUUUACUUAGGGUGAUAGGUCUAUGUCCGAAUACUGCACUUAAGCACAAACUCAAGAACUAGCCAAGAAGGUUUGUCCUUGAAAAUAAGAAAAAGAAGACAGUGCUGACAUAGCAAACAUUGUUUUCAAAUUAAAACAAAUCAAAGCAUAAAUACACAACGUAUCUUCUUACUUCAGCAGUGAAAAUAUGUCCUCAUGCAUGCCUCUCCCCACAUAAAGCUUUGGCUGCAUAAUGUGAACAUUCAUUUCAGGGGAAGAAAACAGGAUAAUGCAAACAAUUGAGUAAGGCCCUUAGUAACGAAGUGGUAGUCUAAUCCAUCUACUUGCCUGAGCCCACCACAUAAGAACAGUAAUAGGGAACAUACUUGAACGCUCCAUGGUCCUCCUUAAGUAAGGAACGAAGAAAAGUAUAGCAGCUAAGACAUUUGGAAUCAUAUAAAUUGCAACGGCAUAAUAAAAGAGCGACUGGUUCCUCCAAUCUUGACCCCAGGUGCUGAAAAAUUUCAGGACUCCUGUUCGAUACUGCAUUAGACUAGAGUAACUAAUUGGCAGAACCACAGCCCAAACGGCUGCCAUUACAAAUUUCAGAAUGUAUCGGAGAAUCUGCGUAUAUCUCAUGCUUUUCCAGGCAUUUAGACUUAGAAUUAUAUCCAGACUUGCUGCAGAAGAGGAAAGGAAGAAGGCGGUGUCAGUAAUGAUUUUAUGCUACGUGGCUCUUAUAAAAUUUGCCAAGACAUAUGCAAGUAGUCAAAACGGGUCGAGGAUGACAUAUUACAUGGUAACUAUAGAGAUAUAUUAUAACAAGGUCUUUCCUAAGGAUUGCCUCUAAGAUUGACAUAUAAAACUUGAGAUAGCUAGAAACGCCUUCUCCUUAUCACAACGAUUGGAUUUGCUGCAUUCUCUAUAAAGAAGGCUGCAAGGCUAAGCAAUUAUUCUCCUUCCUAAGGCUGAACCGGUUUUGGAAAGUCCUAAUGAUAUGUAGAUUGCAAUAUAAUGAAUUUUCAAAUGGACUUGCCCACAUAGUAAAAUCUUUCAUAAAGAAGUGGACCAUUAUCUUCUUUUUUCGUAUACUCUGAUAAUACCUUCUUGAAUUCUGCUCGAUGACUUUGAUGGCUUGAUGGAAUGGAGAUUCCCUCAAAUGUUACACAAUUAUGUGAGUAUUCUCGCCAUCUUUUUCUAUUUCUUACACUAUCUAUUACAAACUUUUGGUUACAGACUUAUCAAUCCCUCUUAUAUAUUGGGCUUAUUCUGUUUCUCUCUUGAUUAUUUUAAUUCUUCUGUUUCUCAUGCAGUUUUGCCGGAGAUGAUAGAGAUUGGAGAGGCAUCAAACAGGAAAUCGCUCUACAAAUGGUCAAAGGUACUCCUCGAUUCUCUUCUAUAUACUUUAUAUUAUGCAAAAAUAAAUUUGAUAUGAAUCGGCUCCUAAAACUUUAUGUCAAUGAAAAUUUACAUUCUAAAUCAUAAAGAACAUGAUUCGAGGUAACGUAUGAUGCCCACUGGGGAUGCCGAGGCAUGUCUAUAGUACACGCUGACAUUAAUCAUGACAAUAUAUUGUCCCCUUUUGAAUAUAUGAAGCAUGACAUUUUCCCUUUUCUUAAUUUGAGAAAUAUGAAUUUGAAUAUGAUAUUUUUUUUCUGGCAAAGGAAAUGUUGGUAUUUUUUCACUUACUAUCACAAAAUAUAGGAUAUUAAAAUCACUUUGUCUCAUUAAAAUGCCAGUCACAUUUGACUAGUGAUUUCUGAUUUAAGUGUUUUUACUUUUUGAAUAGUGAACCUAUGCUCUACUCCAAAACAACAUUAUUGUGAAAGAAGAGAAAGAUUUGUGUGCCUCAUUUUUUUUUUUUUAAUCAUUUGUAUUUAACUAACAAGUUUCUGCUUCUUUUUCAAUUUACAAAGUUGUGGCCUGUAUAAAUAAAUGGGCCUGAUAACCUCAUAUACAAUGAGAAAAGAUUAUGAGAGUUUGUCUGAACUUUUCCUUCCCCUCUUCGCCUUCCCCUAAUAUUAAAUUUUUUAUGCUCAUUUACAUACUUAAAUAUAUAUCUUCUUUAAUCUUAUUUAGUUAGUUAUCACUCCAUUUGUUUCUAUUUUUUUUUUCUUUUUGCAAAUGCACACUCCUAUGUUGCUGAGAGAAUCGAGAUAUUUAUGUUUUGUCGAUGUCCACAUGUGAUGUAGACGUAUCUUUAUUGGUAUGUAUCUACUUUACAGGAUAAAAGAAUUAUUAAGUCUUGGUAUUUAAGAAUUUGUUCUACUCCCAUCUUUUUCCUCAAUAAUAAGAUUACCUCUAACUACGUCUUGGACAUAUUAUAAAGAUAUAGUAAUGAGUUCUACACAUUUCUAUUUAACUUAGGUCAACUUUUAUAUUGGUCAUUUCCUUGAUAUUUCAAUCAAACAUGAUUUUUAUCAUAUCAUGGUUAUCCUGCACAAAGCGCUGGCUAAUGUCUAGCCUUAUUUUAUAUGUAGCAUAAACUAGCACAGUCAGUCUACGGUAAUAAUGGGGAAAGAUACAUAAUGUACAAACAUCACCAUACCCCUCAGAAAGUUCAGGAAAGCAUGAGUUAUGAAGAUGGUCAAAACUUGUCUGUAAACAUUCUCGUGGAAGAGAGCAGUGACAGACCCAGUAAAUGCAACAAUUACCAUGGCCUGAACCAAGAAAAUGGAGCUUGGUUAAUUUCUUGCAGAGAAAGUCUACAACAUUAUGCUGCUCAACGUCAACGCUACCUGCAAUGCCAAUAUAAGGAAUAUCCACAUCCGAUCAAAACUUCUGUAGAGGUGCAAAAAGGUGCGAACUUCCACAAAAUUAGUUUUGGGUUGCUUCUUCCGGAUAGGACGCUGGCUGACACGCUGCAAUAAUAUUAGUAUAUACAUCACCAUGGGUUCUUUCUUUUUAUUGACCAGGAUCAACAUGGGUUCGUAGACAUGCCAAUCAGAGAAAAAUAUCAAUUUGUGGUAUUUCGUUGUGCUCCAUCCCCUAAUUUUUCGAUUUCCUCAUAUAAUUUGAUAAACCACGAAACUUCUAGAUGUUUUCUUUUAGAAAAACAUCGUGAUUUGGAUAAUCUUGGUUAGCCAUUAUAUCCAUGUACGUUGUCAAAGAAACUAGCUUACUAUUCGCACUAGUAAGAUUGCUCCUGAUAGGUACAGUGCUGAAAACGCAAAAGUCUCAGACGUAUGGUGUACAAAGAAGUGCAAAAUGGGCUCAGAAUUUAUAAUUCGAAAUUCACUACAUCCCUGGAGAGAAGAAGCUACUAAAAUCUAUUUAUAGCUUCAUCACUACCUAUUUGAUAAAAAAUAAAGGCAUUCAAAUCAAACAAGCUGUUAUAUUCUGACGAUGCUAUGUUCCACUUUUGAAAUUGGGAGUUUAAAACACAGAACCAAUGAUUAAAGGAGUCGACACAGUGCCUAUUGGUGAAUGCCAGUGAUGCAAUCACUUUCCUGAACUAUAAUUUUCAAUUUCACCCAGUCAAUGGAGAGAAGGAGCUAUUAAAAUCUGUGUAGAGAUUUUCUUGAUGCCAAUUUAAUCAAAUAUACAGGGAUUCCUAUCAGACAAGCAUUUUAAAUUCUAACAAUGCUGUGUUGGCCUUUUGGAAACGGGAAGGACACAGAACCACCGCUUAAAGGAGUUAAGCAAUGCUUAUUGCUGAAUCGCCAUAAUCUGGCCAAGAGAUGUAAUCACUUUCCUGAGCUAACCUUUUAAGAAAUGGAAACGGGGAGAAAAAUCUGAUGACAAAGGUAUCAAUGGCACUGCUAAACAAGAGAAAAGAAAAAUUCUUUGGAAGCUUGACUGCUCGGCCAAUUAUCAUUGUGUUAUCUAACAGGUUAACCAAAUUGGAAAGUGGUUUCCGGUAACAUUUUCCUUGUUUAGCUAGUAAGUCAUAUAUAUAUAUAUAUAUAUAUAUAUAUAUAUAUUAGUGGACAAUGAAGAGUCACAAAAUUGAGUGGCAUCCGAUCUCCCAUGGCCAUAAGUUGGACACAGAAUUGACACAAAAAGCUGCACACAGCAUGCAUGCACGCACGCAAGCACACACGCAGAGGGAGAAAAAGGAGUACAGCAUUUGCAGUUUGAGGAUCGUCUGGCCCAAAGAAAUCAGCUUUCAUAUUCAACGGCCAUUCUAGAUCAAAACACUUGUCGGACCUGAGGAAAUUGAAACGUGAAUUAACUGACUUGCUUCUGCCAGAGUCAUAAAGCUAUUCAUGCUCAAAAGAUAUUACCAGAAGUACUCGUUUAGGUCGUCAUAAUUUCUCCAUCUUGAAUGGCUUGCCUUGCCUCCUUUGUUUCUCUUAGCUUCCUUUAACCAUGAUACUCAAUUUUCAGAUCUCAACAUGGCAAACAAGAAUUUGAGGCAUCAACUGAGAAGGAACAUACCUUGCGAAGGACGUCGUAGAAAGGGGUUAUUACAUCCCUCAAAAAUGACUCGUCAUCAGGUGCUGCCAAUUUAUAUGUUUCUCCACUAACUGCAUGAACAUUACCAUUCAAGAUGACGGAAACAUCAUCCGCCAUCUUGUUCCAUUGGACAAAGAGGAGGUUAAUAUCACAUAACCAACAAGGAAAAAAACUUGCUAGUAAAUGCAUCGUAUACAAGAAAGAUAAGCUUGACUUUCAAUUGCAACACUUUUCGACAGAAGAAUCAACUCCAUUAAGAAAAGUUAUGUCUUGUCUUUACUCCAUAGGAAAAGCUACUUGGUUUCUUUGCUGAUCAAAAUGUAAGAUCUGCCGCAUUCUUCUCCAGUAGUAAGUAAUACAUCAAUUCAAAGAUGUGAUCAACAAGAAGAAAAUCGAUGACAUGUUAUUAGAAUGCGAUUAAAAUACAAACAAAAAUUUCUAAGGUUGCAAUUUUGCUCUUGACAGGUUCAUUUCAAUGGCUGAUUAAGCAGAUUUUGCUUCAGCAAGGAAGAGAUUAUCGAAGUUGGGCACGAUGAUGGAUAAGCACCAUAUUGAACGACCCGAUUAUCCCAAAGAAAAUUGUCUAGUAGUUAGAUGGAACAUAAUCAGCUUUUACUCUAGCUGAUUAAGCAGAUUUCUUCCAUUAAUAGCAAACUCUAAAUAUGUUUGAGAUGACUUCUAUUCAUCAAGUAAACAUAAUAUGUGCCUCUGGAUGACUACAAAGGACAUAGAUAUUGAGAUAACCAUAGUACGCACCCUGUGAAAGAUAUAGCAGAGACAUUCAGGCAUAAAUCGAACAUUUGAUGCUUCACCCCAUAUUAGAAGAUAGAGCGCGAUGUAGAUAAGUUGCAACUGUUGUCUGUCACGAUGUGGGGGAAACCUGGAAAAACGGUGGUUUGCCAAAACAUUGAGCAGACUUGCAAAUCAGUUAUCCCAUGGCACAACAGAUGGUGAUUGUUCCUUUUCAAUUUUCAUAUGAAAGAUUUAUGUGAUAGUAGGGCAGAAAAGCUUACUCAAGAUUGUGCUUCUGAUGAAGAUAAUUACACCAGGAUCGAUAGUUCUUGAGAAUUUUUUCCAUCAGCUGAUCAACAGUGUGAUCAUUCAACUGCAGGAGGCAUAUGUCCAAGAUUGAAUCACACCUCAUUUUUAAGUGAACUCUGCUAUUUCUAUAUAAACCUAUGCAGAAAAAUGAUGUACAUACCUCAGUGAAAUUUUCAUCAUCUCUAUCCCUUAUCUCCUUGUUGGCAAGUAAAAGAAUUAAAUGCUCCCUCUGAUUUGCCACAUUUCCUUUCUUCAGCAACAAGAUGAGGAUCCAUAUUUAGUCAGAUAAUGUAUAAUUUCCUUCAUUAGAGAUUCCAGAAAGCAAAGGUGACCUAUGAAACUAAUUAGAAAGGUCAAAAAGUGAUAAAACUCUAUUCACCUUGAGAACCCACGGAAGGCUAAGUCCACUACAUAGUGUUGACUAGGCUAUAUAGGUAAAAAUGCACCUUUCCACAUGAGACGUGUUAUUACUUCAUGUAUUCAAAACACAAAUGCUAGAAAAGCCAUAAAAUCCUUGACAUCGUAGUUAGCCAAAAUCAAAUUUAAAGCCCAACGUUGCCGGUGUCAUUUGCAAUAUCAAUGUCAAUAACCUAGACCAAACUAGGAUGUCAAGGUUCAUAUGUUUCAAGGGAUACAAUCAGCAAGACAAUUUUGUCAGAAACAUACUGUAAUGUGUAACAAAAUGUUAGAUUGGUAAUUCUCACAUAUAAGUUUGUGAAACCACUUAUCAUGAUUCAACUGCUAAGGAAUGGGCCAGAUAAUUCAGGCAAUUCGAGUCCUUAGAAAUGUUUUCAAAACCAAACAGGUGUGAAACCGAGAGGUUGGCAAUUCGCAAGAUAGACAGUGAGAUCAUCUGAACCGUUCAGUUUAGUUAAACUGAGUCAAAUAUGUGAUAUAGUGAAGUAAUCACACAACUGAUUUGGAUCAGAGCGCGUGCACUUUUAGCUCUUAGAGAUCGAGGAUUCAGCCUCCGCAACACCAGUGGGCAUUCUUUCUCUGAAGGGGUUCAGUUUUUUUGGUCUAAAAUUAUCCACACAAAUAAGUUGCAUGUGCAGCUGGAGAAGAUCUGGGCUCAAAUCAAUGGCAGGGCACGGUUCAAACCCCAGCUCAGCCACAUGUCCUUUACUAUCCAAAAGUACUCGAGCCUUACCCAUCGUCAAGUGACCAGUUCAAACGGACCAGUCCGGUCUGGUUUCCCAAAAUUUGGUAGUAGGCCAAACUUGCCGCAUGGAAAGGUUGUUUGACAUCAUUUAAUUAUGAUAUUGUGUUCUACUAUUUCCAGCAUUACUUGAGCACCAACAAAAAAUUUCUUUGUCAUUGUGAAUGGUGCAUAAGCCACCUUUUCUCUUGUACAAUAUAAACAAGUGAGAGUACUAUCAGCGCACUAUGGGGUCGGAGAUUAUGCGCAGCCCUAGAAUCAGCUUGCUAAAGGAGGACCCGAAGCAAUAUCAAGGCACAAUAGUGGAUUCAAAUUAUAAUAGGACGUUCAAGACAAGUUUUACCUGGAACCCAAAAACAGAUGAAAGCCAAUCAAGUAUAUCAGUGUUGGACUGGCUGCUCUCCUUUGGAACUACCAAAUUAUCAUCCUCAACGUUUGGCCCUCCAUGAGCUUGGAGCAUUGGAAGGUUGUCCACAUUGCGUAUGCCCCAAAGGGCAGCCUUAAUCUAGACUUUUCAUAAAACUUGAUGAGUAAUACAGCCCACUGUUGAGAAAAUCCAAUGCAAACCUUUCAUAAAUUGAAAAUUUACCUCAGGAAGUUCCAUAAUUGCAGGUUUAACCCCAAUUGCAUGUAAUGGCAAAAUGUUGUAGUGUACAGAUUGCUCUCUUUUUCUCUCAACUUCUUCAGCAUACCUUUUUGUCUGUAGAGCAAAAGCCAAUUGCAGAUACCAUUAUUCAGUGCUUGCCACAGAGAAGAACACAAAGAUGAAUACAGGCUAGGAAACUAAAACUCUUUCACUGGAACCUGAUCAUCAAGCUUUGAGGGAUGCACCACGGUUGUCAAAACAUCAUAUAAUACUGUAGCAAUCUGAUAUAUCUUUGCCAUUUCUUCCCUUCAAGAAUUAAUAGCAAAAAGAAGAAUCAAUAAAGUGAAGAGAUUCGUUCGCAGUUGAUCAAAUAACAGUAGAGCCUUACGGCUUUUUGGUAUAUUGGGCAUCUUUGAUAUUGUUUUCAUAGAACAUCUGGUAAUACAUCUGGAUUUCUCUAGGAUCACUUCUGGCAAGCUGAAAAUGCGUCUCUUCUUCUUCCUACAGAAUUAGAAUGUCAGACAUUAAACAGGUUUCAUACAAGUUACAACCCAGUCCCUCUGCUGGUUUUUCCCCCACCAAGGCUAAAUUCUGUGACGUAUUGUGCACAUAAUACAAAUGAGGGAAUAGGAAGAAAAUAAUAUAAACAAUUUUGCCUACAAACUAUAAGAAGAAAUGGUGACUGAUGACGAGAAUGUAAUAUCAUUAUCAACAGCCAACAUGCCUAACAGCAUUGGCGCAACAGCAGGGCCAUAGAUAAGUAAAAGACAUUUCAAGCUACCAAAAAUAGUGACAUCUAGAUGCUCUUUACAUUCAAAUGCCUCGUUAGGCUGAUACCCCUACAUCCUCCCUUUUUCUAACCGUCAACUUGAAUGAUAAAUGGCACCAACAUAUGAGGUUAUUUAUAAGUCAGCAUCCCAUGAAAUUGGGCCUUCCAGUUGCAAGAUUUAGGUCAGAUAUAUCCAACAUCAUAUGACUUGUCAGGAUUUCCAAGAAAACUUCAAAUGAGAAGACAUAGAAGUACAUGACAUUUCAGGUAAAAAAAAAUUGAUCUCAAAGGAUCACGCACCAAAUAAUGCUGACAAACUUUGGUCUCGGUAGUUCAAUCCCCUGAUUCAGGGAUCAACUAACUAUAAGUCAAACAACUCUGACGUCAAAUCAAGUCAUUGAAUCCGUAGUGCUUAGGACAAGAGUGGCCUAGGGACUAAAAAUGGUGCAACUGUGGGUUAUGAUUGUUGGACAAGUGAUCAGGGAGGUGGGUUAUGAUUGUUGGACAAGUGAUCAGGGAGGUUUCCGGACGGAAAUUCUAGCCCUCGAGCACCGAUUGCUACUCUAUGUAUAUGCAGUUUCGGGGGGCUCUCUAUAGUCUAUGGUCCCUCGAAGAACCAAUCCUCAAGAAUUGGAAGCUGUUAGAUCCCUAAUGAAUAGAUCGUGGUUGUUCAUUGAAAACCCAUUAAGAGUUCAUGCAUUACAGCACAAUGUAUAGGAAUUAUGACAUAAUACACUUGGGCAUGACUGUGGACAGUUCCUCAAUGGGACCAUGGAAGCCCCCACAAUUUCAGAUAUGGCUUGGUUAACUCUACUACUGCACAGUACUUGAAAAUAAGUCUUGGGGAGUGUAUCAGUAAGGGUUGCAAUGCAACAGCUUCAUUUCUAAAUCUGUCACACUCAAUAAUGGAGAUAUUCAAAGGGCAAUAAUCACAAAGGACUAUAUUGAUGUGGGAGAUUAAGAGACCCAUUUUGUUCUUUGAAAGACCAUUUUCCCAGGCAGAAGAUAUGAGGAUGAUAAAGCUUUAUAAAACCUCACAAAGGACUGUAUUGAUGUGGAAUUUUAUUAUGGAGCUCUCAAUAAUUUAUGAAUAUUGUAAUCCCUUUCCAUGGAAACAUAAGGAAUGCUAAAGCUCCAUCAAAGGUCUGUUAUUUUUAUUUUUUAUUUUUUCAAUUCUGAAAUGUGAUUCUAGGUAACAAUAAAGAAAAAAUACGACCUGAAGCUUAGGAAAAUUGUAACGGUCAAUUGGUUUUCUCUGCAAAAACAAUUGGUACAUCUGCUUAUUCAGUGGUUGCUGACAUUUAUCACAUUGUUGGAUCUUUCAGCAGGGAUAUCUCGGGUCAUGCCCUACUGUAAUAAAUGCAAUCAGAAGCUGCAAGGCAUAUCAGUCGGUUUUGACAAGGACUGUGGAACUCAGUGCCAUCUUGUGUAACAUGGACUAUCUAGUUGGAGAAAACAGAAAGGUUUUCCAAAGCUGAUUGCUAUUGCUCACAAGUCGGCUGUGGAGUGAUAUUCUGCUUGAUUGUAUAGCUUCUUUUUUAUUUUCUGAUACUUUCCUAUGUAUAUACAUCCAGUCUAAUGGUAUACUCCUUGUUUAUGUCUGAGUCCACUUAAACAAUCUACAACUGCAAAUCCAUGGUAAUAUCGCUCAACAUGAUUUUCUCACAUCUUGAUAGCUUAGUAAAUGUGGAAAUGCAGUCUCCGGCCAUCAGAUCUAACAACCACAGUCACAUUUGUUAGUUUAGCUGUCACAGCUUGAAAAGACAAAAUGCUUCACUGCUAGUGACAUGAUGUAUAAAUGAACUUUAUUGAUGUUUCAUCAUUCAGCAAUGCCGCCAUAACAGGCCAAGGGACCUCGUGAACUAGGAAAGAUACCUUUUCAAGCCUGUGUAAGAGAUAGGUCUUAAACUGGCGAACACCCCGUCCAGUUGAUGUUGGAUCCAUCUUAUGAGCCCUCUCAAAUGCAUGAAAGCGACCUAAUAGGAGAGAUAAAGCAAGGAAAAGGAGAAGUAUUGCUACAGAUUAGGAAGAGAACCAUGUUUGAAGUCCAACUGAUGCAAUUUUAACCUUGCCAUGCAACAUCAUAAUAUUUGUAAAGAAGAC
rnacentral:lncRNA from 1 species